UAAAAGCGUGUGUUCCACCUACCCGUGCUGUCACGGUGGUCCCGCGGGCGGAGCAAGGCGCUUGGCUCCUGGUACUCGCACUCGCCCUCCCGCUCGGGGUCGUCGGGGAAGGUGUGGAUGCGCUGGUAGCGGCUGGAGUAGCUGUGCGUGUUGUUGAUGACCACGUUGUCCGAGGGGACGGACAGGUGGACGCGCAGCUCGUUGCUCGAGAGGCUGCCCUGGGCCUGCGGAAGGGGGUCACGAGCGUGGCUUCUUCCAGUACUGCCUCCACAGGAUGACGGCGAUGACGGCCAGCAGCAGCAGGAUGAUGCCCACCAGGCAGCCAAUCAGAAUGGCCGUGUUGUUGCUGUCGUCCUUGGCCACGGGAAGCCCCGCCCUCGGAGACACGGCGGCAAACUCCGAGCCUGAGACAGACGAGGAAGAGGUCACUUCUGCAAGGUUUCAUCACCCAAUAUCUCUCUGGCCUCUCUUCAGAGAAAAGAAUGUGAAGAGUGCACGGCUCCUCAACAACUUCACCAUGAAUCACACAAAUGCGGCAUGCAGAGGAUACCAGGUGGCCAUGGAUAAUUUCUGGAAAGGUACCAGUCUGGAUGACGUGCUAGCUGACCCUAGUUGUGAACCAGGUGCCCUGGCUGAGCCCGGAAGAAGAUCCCCUAUGACUAUCUGUGGACUAAACUCCCACAUUAUCUAUUAACUUAACAAUUCAAUAAAUAUGCCCAAUCACCCUGGAAUGGUUUGUUCUUUUUCCCAAGUUGGUUCUUUUGAGUUUU